UACGUAGGGAGCAAGCGUUGUCCGGAAUCAUUGGGCGUAAAGCGCGCGUAGGCGGCCCGAUAAGUCCGCUGUAAAAGUCAACGGCUCAACUGUUGAAAGCCGGUGGAUACUGUCGGGCUAGAGUACGGAAGAGGCAAGUGGAAUUCCUGGUGUAGCGGUGAAAUGCGCAGAUAUCAGGAAGAACACCAAUGGCGAAAGCAGCUCUCUGGGACGGUACUGACGCUGAGGCGCGAAAGCUAGGGGAGCAAACGGG
rnacentral:rRNA from 1 species